rnacentral:rRNA from 1 species
UACGUAGGGGGCGAGCGUUGUCCGGAUUUAUUGGGCGUAAAGAGCUCGUAGGCGGCUCGGUAAGUCGGAUGUGAAACCUCCAGGCUCAACCUGGAGACGCCAUCUGAUACUGCCGUGGCUUGAGUCCGGUAGAGGAGCAGGGAAUUCCUGGUGUAGCGGUGAAAUGCGCAGAUAUCAGGAGGAACACCAGCGGCGAAGGCGCUGCUCUGGGCCGGUACUGACGCUCAUGCACGAAAGCGUGGGGAGCAAACAGG